rnacentral:misc_RNA from 1 species
AAAGUCGUAACAAGGUAACCGUAGGUGAACCUGCGGUUGGAUCAUUAAAAAAUGAUGGUUUUGUAGCUUGAGCUGCUUUCGAGUGGCUCGCUUCAAAACUUAUUCACCCUUGUGCAUCGUAAUGUUUUUUGGGUCGGUUUUACGACUGGCCCAGCAUUUAUAAACACCUUUUAAUUUUGACUGAAUUUUUUUGAAAAUAAAAAAUAACAACUUUUGACAACGGAUCUCUUGGCUCUC